AGAGUUUGAUCCUGGCUCAGAUUGAACGCUGGCGGCAUGCUUUACACAUGCAAGUCGAACGGCAGCACGGGUGCUUGCACCUGGUGGCGAGUGGCGAACGGGUGAGUAAUGCACCGGAACGUACCCAGUAAUGGGGGAUAACACAUCGAAAGAUGUGCUAAUACCGCAUACGCCCUGAGGGGGAAAGCGGGGGAUCGUAAGACCUCGCGUUAUUGGAGCGGCCGAUGCCGGAUUAGCUAGUUGGUGAGGUAAGAGCUCACCAAGGCGACGAUCCGUAGCUGGUCUGAGAGGACAACCAGCCACACUGGGACUGAGACACGGCCCAGACUCCUACGGGAGGCAGCAGUGGGGAAUUUUGGACAAUGGGCGCAAGCCUGAUCCAGCCAUGCCGCGUGAGUGAAGAAGGCCUUCGGGUUGUAAAGCUCUUUCGCAAGGAAAGAAAACUUAUCUACUAA
rnacentral:rRNA from 1 species